GGAAACACAGGAGAAUAACUUCAACUCACUUGUGAUAGGCCGAUGCGCUAACACACUAGGUCACCCGUGCCCUUGUAAAAUUUCUAAUGACCAGACCUCCGUCUUCAUUUCCAUAACAUAUUUUUUAACCUAACAUAUUUAUGACUACACUUCUAUCUUCAUUACCAUGACCAUUUAACCUACCUAGCAUAUGACCCAGGUAUUGUGUUAUAUAUGAAAACACUCCUAUUAUCAUUAUGAACUUUAACCUACCUAGUAUAUCAAACCAUAACCUUUUAACCUACCUAACAUAAGACCCAGGAAAUGUGUUAUAUGACUACACUCAUGUUAGCAUUACCUAACAUACAGUAUAUUAUAACCAUAACCUUUUAACCUACCAAACAUAUGACCCAGGUUAUGUGCUAUAUGACUACACUCCUAUUAUCAUUACCUAAUAUACAGUAUAUUAUAACCACCAUAACCUUUUAACCUACCUAAUAUGAAGUAUAUUACCAUAACCUUAUGACCCAGGUAAUUCGUUUUGAAAUGGGCAGUGCAACGUACAGCCAAAAAUCAGGUGCGGGACGGGCAGGGUCCCGUGUUGGGUCCCGUGCCACGGCUACUAGGACACCUGUUCAGCCUAGUAGUAGGGCAGAUAGUCGUAAAUCAGUGCGGACUCCUGUGCAGGACAAACCCACACCCCCAUCUUCAGCUGGUGUGAACCCUACUAAGUGCCAACCUGAGGCUAUCUUAGAGUUGCCUGAGCCAUCUGUGAGUCUAGCACAUUACAUCUAGCAUGCUCAGCGAUGGUAUGUAAUGUAUGGUACUUAGAUAAGUGUUCCAGAUGUUUCUAGAACUACUAUUACAGCACAUUGCAUCUAGCAUGCUCAGCGAUGGUAUGCAAUGUGUGGUACUUAGAUGAGUGUUCCAGAUGUUUCUAGAACUACUAUUACAGCACAUUGCAUCUAGCAUGCUCAGCGAUGGUAUGCAAUGUGUGGUACUUAGAUAAGUGUUCCAGAUGUUUCUAGAACUACUAUUACAGCACAUUGCAUCUAGGUAGCAUGCUCAGCGAUGUUUGCACCUAUGGUAUUUAGAGAAGGUUACAUAUGUUUCUAGAACCAGCACAUUACACCCCGCAUGGUCAGUGAUGUUAUUUACCUUGAGAUUUAGAGAAGGUUACAAGAUGUUCCUAGAACCAGCACAGUGCACCCCGCAUGGUCAGUGAUGUUACUGUAUGCACUGUUACUUAUGAUGUUAUGUACCUAUGGUACUGAUGUUAUUUACCUUGGUAUUUAUAUGUACCUAUGGUACUGAUGUUAUGUACCUGUGGUACUGAUGUUAUUUACCUUGGUAUUUAUAUGUACCUAUGGUACUGAUGUUGUGUACCUAUGGUACUGAGGUUAUGUUCCUAUGGUACUGAUGUUAUUUACCUUGGUAUUAAUAUGUACCUAUGGUACUGAUGUUAUGUACCUAUGGUACUGCUGUUAUGCACCUUGGUAUUUAUAUGUACCUAUGGUACUGAUGUUAUUUACCUUGGUAUUUAUAUGUACCUAUGGUACUGAUGUUAUGUACCUAUGGUACUGAUGUUAUUUACCUUGGUAUUUAUAUGUACCUAUGGUACUGAUGUUGUGUACCUAUGGUACUGAGGUUAUGUUCCUAUGGUACUGAUGUUAUUUACCUUGGUAUUAAUAUGUACCUAUGGUACUGAUGUUAUGUACCUAUGGUACUGCUGUUAUGCACCUUGGUAUUUAUAUGUACCUAUGGUACUGCUGUUAUGCACCUUGGUAUUUAUAUGUACCUAUGGUACUGAUGUUAUUUACCUUGGUAUUAAUAUGUACCUAUGGUACUGAUGUUAUGUACCUAUGGUACUGAGGUUAUGUACCUAUGGUACUGCUGUUAUGCACCUUGGUAUUUAUAUGUACCUAUGGUACUUGAUGUGAUGUACCUAUGGUACUGAUGUUAUGUACCUAUGGUACUGAUGUUAUGUACCUAUGGUACUGCUGUUAUGCACCUUGGUAUUUAUAUGUACCUAUGGUACUGAUGUUAUGUACCUAUGGUAUUUAUAUGUACCUAUGGUACUGAUGUUAUGUACCUAUGGUACUGAUGUUAUUUACCUAUGGUAUUUAUAUGUACCUAUGGUACUGAUGUUAUGUACCUAUGGUAUUUAUAUGUACCUAUGGUACUUGAUGUUAUGUACCUAUGGUACUGAUGUUAUGUACCUAUGGUACUGAUGUUAUGUACCUAUGGUACUGAUGUUAUGCACCUUGGCAUUUAUAUGUACCUAUGGUACUGAUGUUAUGUACCUAUGGUAUUUAUAUGUACCUAUGGUACUUGAUGUUAUGUACCUAUGGUACUUGAUGUUAUGUACCUAUGGUACUGAUGUUAUGUACCUAUGGUACUUGAUGUUAUGUACCUUUGGUACUGAUGUUAUGUACCUUGGUACUUGGAGAAGGUUCCAGAAAUGUUUCUAGACUAGAACUAGAAUCCACACAAAGGAUCAACUGUGAACCUCAACCUUUUAAUCUUCAAAAAGAGCUUUUUAAAUACUGUAACUCCAAAUGAGAGCUGGCUAGCAGAUAGAAUGUCUGUCAUAUAAAUAACAAAGUCAGAAUGAUUUAUGGUAUUUUAAGAGUAUUUUAUGCUUGUAUUUUAUGGUAUUUUAGUUUUAACUUUUCGAAACCACGAUCCAGUGAAUAUGAGAGCUGUUGUGUUCCUUGAUGUAGAUCUACUUAUUUGUAGCUGAUAGUAUUAAAGCCGCAUUGUCACCAGUUUACUACAGGCCGAUUACAUAACAAUCUCCUACUAUUUUUAGCAGAAAUCCCUUAAAAUAUUUCAAAAUUUUAAAAGCAGUGUGUCUAUUGGAAGUUUCUUCAAGUAUGUGACUGAUAAUUCAGACCUGGUGGCCUGUUUUAUAGCUCAGAUUCUAAUAGAUAUUUUAUAAAUUAUUUCUUUUUGAAAUUGUGAAAUAUUACUAAGAAAAGGGACUGGGAUUGUUAUUUGGUGAGUUGUUGUGAGUCAUUAUAAUAAUAAAUAGUGCUGAUCUAUUUGCCUCAUGACAGUAUGCUCUAUUUCCUAGCUGUUGCUAGGGUUGGAGGCUACGCGAUGAGCUGGAAAUCUAGCCUACAUGCACAGAUUCAUGUGCUAAGGAGAUUUUUUUUCUUUCACUUUGAUAAAUAUAGAUAAAAUUAGCUACUUCUUAAAAG